UACGUAGGGUGCAAGCGUUAAUCGGAAUUACUGGGCGUAAAGCGUGCGCAGGCGGUCUUGUAAGUCUGACGUGAAAUCCCCGGGCUCAACCUGGGAAUUGCAUUGGAGACUGCAAGGCUAGAAUCUGGCAGAGGGGGGUAGAAUUCCACGUGUAGCAGUGAAAUGCGUAGAGAUGUGGAGGAACACCGAUGGCGAAGGCAGCCCCCUGGGUCAAGAUUGACGCUCAUGCACGAAAGCGUGGGGAGCAAACAGG
rnacentral:rRNA from 1 species